UAGUUCUAGGGUUUUCUCGUCUCCGCCGCCGACGCAUCCAAAUCAAACCCUUCCCCAUCCACCACCCUCCCCACUUCCGGCGGCGGCGAGCGGCGGCACCACCACCACCACCACGCCACGAUGAGGCCGAUCCUGAUGAAGGGGCACGAGCGCCCGCUCACGUUCCUGCGCUACAACCGCGACGGCGACCUCCUCUUCUCCUGCGCCAAGGACCACACCCCGACGGUCUGGUACGCCGACAACGGCGACCGCCUGGGGACCUACCGCGGCCACAACGGCGCCGUCUGGUCCUGCGACGUCUCCCGCGACUCGGCGCGCCUCAUCACGGGCUCCGCCGACCAGACCGCCAAGCUCUGGGACGUCAGCACGGGGCGGGAGCUCUUCAGCUUCCGCUUCGACGCGCCUGCGAGGUCCGUUGAGUUCGCCAUCGGGGACGCGCUCGCCGUCAUCACCACCGACAACUUCAUGGACCACGUCCCCACCGUCCAGGUCAAGCACAUCGCCGAGGACCUCGACGACCAGACUGAUGAAUCCGCGCUCGUGAUCACCGGCAUCAAGGGGAGGAUCAACAGGGCGGUUUGGGGCCCGCUCAACAGGACCAUCAUCACUGCCGGCGAGGACGCCACCAUUCGCAUCUGGGACACGGAGGAUAAUAUAGUACAGCGCACCCCAUUGCGUGCGCCGAGCAAUAACCCUCGAGGAACAGUACACCAUGGUCGACAGGGACAGCGAAAGCGACGAAAGGGAGGGACCGAAACGCAAAACAGCCAGAGGUGGACGACGUAUUUUGGUUUUUUUGCCCCUUUGCCCCCUCGUCUCGCUUUGCCUGGUUGCUUAGCUUCGCCUACUUCCCAACUCCCCCCAUCCCCCCCGAAAAACCGAGGAGGAUUGGACUCGCUCCACCACCCCCCGAAGCUUGUGUACGCACGCGCGCCCUCCCCCGCAAUGCCGCCGCCGUUUCCUCCCCAUCCUCAUCCACAAACCCUAGGUAGCACGGGAGCCUCCCGCCGCCAGAUCCCAGAGUCCCGCCGCACCCGCGCCGAUCUGAGCUCGCUAGCUAGAUUUCCGCUGCGGAAAGGGCGCGUUUUUUCGGCAGUUUCGGGAGUAAUGGAGCCCAGGGUCGGGAACAUGUUCCGGCUCGGCCGCAAGAUCGGGAGCGGCUCCUUCGGUGAGAUCUACCUUGUGGAUUCCUUUAGUGGAUAUCGACGCAAUGGAUCCGUCCCUCUAGGAGUACGAGCACGUGAUGCAUUGGCUGGUGCAGCAGGAUUUGGAUCGUGCCGGCUCGGGGCAGGACAAUCUCUUCCACGAUGUUUCCCUCACUUUUGCGACGGAAGGGUGGCGUCGUGUCAACUUUAUGUUCCCUGAUAGGCCGACGGUCUCGAUACUCAUCGACGAGAAAGAUUUCUACCUUCUGUUCAUAUGAAGAGGGAUGGGAAGUGGCUCAAGUUCUCCGACCGCCGUAUUCCACUUUCAGCAGACCAUCCUGCAGUUGAGAGUAUGGACGUAGAGUCAUCUUACAUUGAUCUGAUCCGUAGCUUCCACAGGUACUACAUUCGAUCUAAUAAUUCUACAAUUGGCAUUAAAUUUUUUUUUCAAUUAGAGUAAAUUAUACUAACUAUACAAUAAUUAUUGGUAUAGUUCUAUAACUUUGAUCUAAUAAGUUUGCAAAACGUAUAAACGGACGUGUAAACUCGUCAAAUGUGUGCAUGAGGUGCUACAUAUGAGCCUGAGCGUAUCUUACAACGAUGGCUUAGAAGUGUAGUUUAGAUCAUUAAAUAUACAUACAAGAUGUGUGCAUUAUCGACAGUGGUCACAAAUUAAAUAAAUACAAAAUGUAUGUUGUUUGAAAUUUGGUAUACAACUUUACACGAAUUCAAACUAAAAUUUGGUAUAUUAUUUUUUUCUCUGAAUAUCCUCUUAAUCCUUACUCAUCCUCUGGUAUUGCUUAAAAUACUUAUGACUCAAACUACAAUUCAUAUGUCAUGCUAGAUAUCCCUUUGGAACAAAGGAUUAACGGAAAAAAUUUGUAGGAUUUAUUUUCUAUAAGAAUUUUUUCUAUGUACACUUUAAAAUAAAAGAUUAAAUAUCGAAAAAAAUCUUACAAAUUUCUAUAAAAUACUUUAAUUUAUAGGAAUUUCGAGAAAUUCUAACACGAGUUCCAAUCCCUUAGAAACUUUCCUUCGUGUUUAUUUUUCUACUGAAAUAUUUGUAUUUACUAUGUUGAGUGUGAUUUACUCUUUUUAAUUAUUAAUUGCUGCAUAACUUAUGAAUCCUAACUAUCAGGGCUAUAGUUAGGUUAAGUAUUAAAUAAAAAAAGUGUAAGUCUUUUCACCGUAAUGCUUUUGUAACAAUCAACCUUAUUUGUCACAAAUUAUAAUAUCAACCUCAGUUAUAUCUCUGUAAUCAAUUAAUAUGGGUGAUCAUAGUUAAAUUUUUUAGAAACGACUUGUAAUCUGAGUGUGUGAGAAGCACCACGAUUUUUUUUAAUUGCAUUGGAGGUGGGUAAAAAUGAUUAAUUUUUUCUUUGUAAAAGGUUGGUUACUUCUUUUCUUUUUUUAGGAGAAUAAUAUUAUUACUCAAUACUCACUACUGGAAAACUGAAAGCGCAUUCCCUAUCAGUGACUAGUGUUUUUCAUGUUGAGUUAGCAAGAAACACUAGGUGUUCGGAAUUCCAGUGUUGAUUAAUUUCUACCAUGUGUAUUUUCAUUUCAAUCCAAAACUUGGAUUAAUGAAUUCAGAAAUGACAAGGCAAAGGAAGAUGCUGGUUCAGUUGAUAGUUCUAUUCUGUGAAGCUGUCCGCUUCAAGCGUCUGCGAGCAAAGCUUCUGGAGAUUAUGGAGGAUGGUCGGAGUUUCACUUUACCUCAGAAAAUGUGGUCAUGGCUUCAGGAUUGGUCCACAACGUCAAUGUUUGCCCUGAGCUGCAAGCAAAGAGAGGGAGGUGGUAAUAUGCAGGACGACCCUCGUGUGUUGCGAAGCGUUGAGGGUCUUGAAAUCAACAGCAGAGAAGACGUACCUGGUUUCCUUAGUCUCAAUUUGCACAAGGUUGUUGUAGUAUGACAGGGAGGAUGUAGUUGGUUUCUUUAGCCUCAAUAUUUGUUCCUGAAAUAUAAACAGGGAGGAUGUGCUGGUUUCCUUAGCCUCAUUUUGCACACGGGUAUUUUUGUUUCUAACGACGCUUAAGUUUUAAUAGUACGCUUAACUUUGCGUCGAUAGGAACAACUGUCGUGUGCAAAAUGAGGUCAAGGAAGUCAGUAACAUUCUCCCUGUUUAAGUUUCAGGAAUAAAUAUUGAGGCUAAAGAAUUCAGCCAUAUCCUCCCUGUUGUACUACAACUUAAGCAAAAGGAACAACGACUUUGUGCAAAAUGAGACUAAUGAAACCAGGUACGUCAUCUCUGCUGUUGAUUUCAAGACCCUCAACGUUUCGCAACAGACGAGAGUCGUUCUGCAUAUUACGACGUCCCUCUCUUUGCUUGCAGCUCAGGGUAAACAUUGACGUUGUGGACCAUUCCUGAAGCUAUGGCCACAUCUUCUGAGAUAAAGUGAUGCUCCGACCAUCCUCCAUGAUCUCUAGAAGAUUUACUCGCAAACGCCUGAAGCGGACAGUUUCACAGAAUAGAACUAUCAACUGAACCAGCGCCUUCCUUUGCCUUGUCACUCCUGGAUUCAUUAAUCCAAGUUUUGGAUUGAAAUGAAAAAUGCACAUGGUAGAAAUUAGUCAACACUGGAGUUCCGAACAUCUAGUGCUUCUUGCUAACUCAACAUGAAAAACACUAGUCACUAAUAGGGAAUGCGCCUUCAGUUUUCCAGUAGUGAGUGUUGAGUAAUAAUAUUAUUUUUCUAUAAAAAGAAAAUAAGUAACAAACCUUUUAUAAAGAAAAGAGCAAUCAUUUUUACCCACCUCCAAUGCAAAUAAAAUUUAAUGGUGCUUCUCACACACUCAGAUUACAAGUCGUUUCUAAAAAAAUUUAACUAUGACCACCCAUAUUAAUUUAUUACAGAGAUAUAACUAAGGUUGACAUUACAAUUUGUGACAAAUAAGGUUGAUUGUUACAAAAGUAUUACGGUGAAAAGACUUACACUUUUUUUAUUUAAUACUUAAUCUAACUAUGGCCCUGAUAGUUAGGAUUCAUAAGUUAUGCAGCAAUUAAUAAUUAAAAAGAGUAAAUCACACUCAACAUAGUAAAUACAAAUAUUUCAGUAGAAAAAUAGACACGAAGGAAAGUUUCCAAGGGAUUGGAACUCGUGUUAGAAUUUCUCAAAAUUCUAUGAAUUGAAGCAUUUCAUAGGAAUUUGUAUGAUUUUUUUCGAUGUCCAAUCUUUUAUUUUAAAGGGUACAUAGGAAAAAUUCCUAUAGAAAACAAAUCAUACAAAAUUUUUUCCGCUAAUCCUUUGUUCCAAAGGGAUAUCUAACAUGACAUAUGGAUUGUAGCUUGGGUCAUAAGUAUUUUGAGCAAUAACAGAAUAUGAGUAAGGAUCAAGAGGAUAUUCAGAGAAAAAAAUUGUAUACCAAAUUUCAGUUUGGAUUCGUGUAAAGUUGUAUACCAAAUUUCAAACAAUAUACAUCUUGUAUUUGUUUAAUUUGUGGCUACUAUCGACAAUGCACACAUCUUGUAUGUAUAUUUAAUGAUCUAAACUACACUUCUAAGCCAUCGUUGUAAGAUACGCUCAGGCCCAUAUGUAGCACCUCAUGCACACAUUGGACGAGUUCAGACGUCCGUUUAUACGUUUUGCAAACUUGUUGGAUCAAAGUUAUAGAACCAUACCAAUAAUUAUUGUAUAGUCAGUAUAAUUUACUCUAAUUAAAUAAAGAAAAUUUGGUGCCAAUUGUAGGAUUAUUGGAUCGAGUGUAGUACCUGUGGAAGCCACGGAUCAUGUCAAUGUAAGAUGACUCUACGUCCAUAUUCUCAACUGCAGGGUGGUCUGCUGGAAGUGAAAUACGGCGGUCGGAGAACUUGAGCCACUUCCCAUCCCCCCUUCGUAUGGCCACAAGGUAGGAAUCUUUCUCGUCGAUGAGUAUCGAGACCGUCGGCCUGUCAAGGAACAAAAAGUUGACACGACACCCUUCCGUCGCAGAAGUGAGGGGACAUCGCGGAAGAGAUUGUCCUACCCCGGACCGGUACGAUCCAAAUCCCGCUGCACCAGCCAAUUCAUCACGUGCUCAUACGGAUCAUUGUGUCGAUAUCCACUGAAGGAAUCAAAUGCAUAUUGCAUAAAAAGACCAACGAUUUAUCAUUUUCCGACCUAAUCGUUAGAGCAGAAUUAUAAUCGGUUGACAGAGAACAGCACCAAAAACUCAAAAACAAAGAGUAUACGACAAGAGCAGGUGUUAUUCUAAGGUGAGGAAAAGAAUAGCCUAUGGUAGUUCUGCCAACUUCAAGACCCACUGUUAAAAAAAUAGUUAAACAAGUAAAACUUAUAAGGUGCUAGUGUUUGAUGUGGGUGAAAUUGAUUUGGAUGCAUAAAAAUGUUUCUGAUUCUAUCAAUUUUGGAUUUGUGUCACACGAAUGUUGCUGGGGCAUGCGUGGCCGUAUCUGGUCAAUUAUGCUGGAAGGCAUCCAUGAUGGCAUGCUGCUGAGACUGCAUGAGAUCUAACACCACUGGAGAGGUGGAUCUUAUUUCCUCCGAUAAUCCUUCUGCAUGUCGUGCUGACAGUUCAUGUUUGCAAUACAAAUUAUCCCAGAUAUAACAUUGAAAAAUCAAGGCAAAAGGGGAUACAGCCCAGCAGUACAUCUAGAAUAAAGGCUCGGACGGCACUGAGUACAAUGAGAUCACAAGCAAACUUCAGGAACGAAUACACUAACAGAGAUUGUGACAAGCUCACUAUGGUCUGCUUCUGAUUAAGACACCAGGAAUUAGUAGUGCAAUGCAUAAAAAAGUUACAAGCAAUGUGACUACGAGGCAGAUGACAUUGGCCACAGAGAGGACAGAGAACAAAGAUUCAUUAACCAAUUAGUAUUCUUGGGACACCUGACUGCUCAGUCUAUUGCGAAAUUCCGUCUCAUGAAAUUGAGACACCUGGUCGCCAAUUUGUAUGGCUAGAUUUAUCACGAAUGUAAAGAUCACUCAGUCGUUGAAUAUUUACUGUACUGGCUCACAUUUCAAUUAAUAAAAAAAGAUAAGUUGGACCUUAAA